rnacentral:rRNA from 1 species
UGGGGAAUAUUGCGCAAUGGGGGGAACCCUGACGCAGCCAAGCCGCGUGAAUGAAGAAGGCCUUAGGGUUGUAAAGUUCUUUCGGUAUUGAGGAAGGUUGAUGUGUUAAUAGCACAUCAAAUUGACGUUAAAUACAGAAGAAGCACCGGCUAACUCCGUGCCAGCAGCCGCGGUAAUACGGAGGGUGCGAGCGUUAAUCGGAAUAACUGGGCGUAAAGGGCACGCAGGCGGUUAUUUAAGUGAGGUGUGAAAGCCCCGGGCUUAACCUGGGAAUUGCAUUUCAGACUGGGUAACUAGAGUACUUUAGGGAGGGGUAGAAUUCCACGUGUAGCGGUGAAAUGCGUAGAGAUGUGGAGGAAUACCGAAGGCGAAGGCAGCCCCUUGGGAAUGUACUGACGCUCAUGUGCGAAAGCGUGGGGAGCAAACAGGAUUAGAUACCCUGGUAGUCCACGCUGUAAACGCUGUCGAUUUGGGGGUUGGGGUUUAACUCUGGCGCCCGUAGCUAACGUGGUAAAUCGACCGCCUGGGGAGUACGGCCGCAAGGUUA